GAUGAACGCUGGCGGCGUGCCUAAUACAUGCAAGUCGAGCGAACAGACGAGAGUGCUUGCACUCUCUGUCGUUAGCGGUGGACGGGUGAGUAACACGUUGGUAACCUACCUAUAAGACUGGGAUAACUUCGGGAAACCGGAUCUAAUACCGGAUAAUAUUUAGCUUCGCAUGAAGCAAUAGUGAAAGACGGUUCUGCUGUCACUUAUAGAUGGACCCGCGGUGUAUUAGCUAGUUGGUGAGGUAACGGCUCACCAAGGCAACGAUACAUAGCCGACCUGAGAGGGUGAUCGGCAACACUGGGACUGAGACACGGCCCAGACUCCUACGGGAGGCAGCAGUAGGGAAUCUUCCGCAAUGGACGAAAGGCUGACGGAGCAAUGCCGCGUGAGUGAAGAAGGUUUUCGGAUCGUAAAACUCUGUUGUCAGGGAAGAACAAGAACGUUAGUAACUGAACGUACCUUGACGGUACCUGACCAGAAAGCCACGGCUAACUACGUG
rnacentral:rRNA from 1 species